rnacentral:rRNA from 1 species
GGUUUUGGAUGGACUCGCGGCCUAUCAGCUUGUUGGUGGGGUAAUGGCCUACCAAGGCGACGACGGGUAGCCGGCCUGAGAGGGUGACCGGCCACACUGGGACUGAGACACGGCCCAGACUCCUACGGGAGGCAGCAGUGGGGAAUAUUGCACAAUGGGCGCAAGCCUGAUGCAGCGACGCCGCGUGAGGGAUGACGGCCUUCGGGUUGUAAACCUCUUUCAGUAGGGAAGAAGCGUAAGUGACGGUACCUGCAGAAGAAGCGCCGGCUAACUACGUGCCAGCAGCCGCGGUAAUACGUAGGGCGCAAGCGUUAUCCGGAAUUAUUGGGCGUAAAGAGCUCGUAGGCGGUUUGUCGCGUCUGCUGUGAAAGACCGGGGCUCAACUCCGGUUCUGCAGUGGGUACGGGCAGACUAGAGUGCAGUAGGGGAGACUGGAAUUCCUGGUGUAGCGGUGAAAUGCGCAGAUAUCAGGAGGAACACCGAUGGCGAAGGCAGGUCUCUGGGCUGUAACUGACGCUGAGGAGCGAAAGCAUGGGGAGCGAACAGGAUUAGAUACCCUGGUAGUCCAUGCCGUAAACGUUGGGCACUAGGUGUGGGGGACAUUCCACGUUUUCCGCGCCGUAGC